AAGUAGAUUGGAGCAGGUGUUCGACGUGUUCCCAUGGGAACCAUGGUUGACUACAGCACUAUUCUAAACAGAAAAAGAAACAAACCCAAUUGUAUAAAGAUCAGAUAAGCACUUCUUCAGACCUGCAAAGAGGCAAGACCAUGAGAGAGAGAGAGAGAGCUUCUACCAUACCUGGAUUUGUGUUGAAGAAAGAAGGGAAAAUUAGAAUGAAGCAACCAUCUUCUUCAUGGAUCUCCUCCAACAAAUCUGUAGCCACUGUGGUGGUUCUACUUUCCGUCUUAUUACUGAUUCUCACAGUUGAAUCGAGAGAGAUCGCGACUCUGAACAAUCACGUCGAUAAAGUUGAGGAUUCCAUGGACUCAUCAGCGACACCAUUAGGAAGAGGUGGGGCUUUAACUCCCCCCUCUCCAAAACCCAACGAGAAUGGACGCCAAGCACCACCCAGUUCAUGAAUCACCCCGCAAGGAUCUAUCACUGUGAGCACACCUUCGUAUUAUUAUGGUUUAAUGUAACAAGAAUUUGGACAAAAAUGGAAAAUAAGGAAAUAUGUAGUUUGAAAAGAAUAUUGGAGGCUAGAGAAUGUACUACAUAGAUUGGCUGGCAAUACAUGUCUUUUUAUUGGGA